AUGAAGACUCGAGUGAGACAAUUACGCGUUGAGCUUAAAUCCACAAAGAAUGGAAACAAAACUAUCAUUGAGUAUGUGCUAUGCAUCAAAGCUAUUUCCAAUUCGCUUCUUGCAGUUAGAGAUUCAAUAACGAAACAAGAUCAAAUUGACUCGAUUCUUCAAGGGCUUCCUGAGGAGUCUAAUCCCUUUGUGGUGCAGAUGUGUGGAAGUCUUGUUCCCUUGAAUCUUUGUGAUAUUGAAGAAUUGUUGUAUGUGCAGGAAGCUCAGCUAGAAAAGUUUUGA